UUGUUCGGAAUUACUGGGCGUAAAGGGCUCGUAGGUGGCCAACUAAGUCAGACGUGAAAUCCCUCGGCUUAACCGGGGAACUGCGUCUGAUACUGGAUGGCUAGAGUUUGGGAGAGGGAUGCGGAAUUCCAGGUGUAGCGGUGAAAUGCGUAGAUAUUGGGAGGAACACCGGUGGCGAAGGCGGCUACCUGGACCGGUUCUGACGCUGAUGCGCGAAAGCGUGGGUAGCAAACAGG
rnacentral:rRNA from 1 species